rnacentral:sRNA from 1 species
AAUUUGUUGUGGGCAGAUGAAGUGGAUGUGAGAAUCAAAACCUCCGGCAGUAACGAUGUGGCCUUCCGCAGCGAUGACCUCUGUUCCAGCGCCGAUGACCAUGCCCUCUGUAAUGCCGGACUGAAUGAGUGGAUUUCCGGCGUGACCAACACCAGCAAUGCGUCCGUCUUUGACUCCGAUAUCGGCCUUAAUGAUGCCGAGGAUGGGAUCGAUAAUCGUUGCAUUGGUCAGGACAAGGUCGAGGCUGUCCCUACUCGUGGCCAGCGGUGAUUGGCCCAUUCCAUCGCG